AAGACUAUACUUUCAGGGAUCAUGUCUAUGGUUUGUUACUAGAGAAGCCUCUCUGGACGUGUAGAGAAGCAGAAACCACGUGGAAGAGGCACAGUGUUCUCUCCUCUGGGUGCUGUUUUGCUGCAAGAGCCAUUUGCCAUUGAGGAUCAUUCUUCUCUCCCUCUGGGGGAGUAAGAGGGAGAGGACGCAGUCUGAGUGGU
rnacentral:snoRNA from 1 species